AAAAAAAUGAGCACGCAUUGUGUAGACGUGAUUAAGAAAAUUUAAUUUUUGUGUGUGCGACAGAAAAAAAAGCAAUAUUUUCUCCUACGUGCAGCAAGCAUAAAAGUUUACGCGUUAGCUUGUGCAAGUGUAUCAACUAGUUCAACUACCUCUUGCGGUAAUUGUGAAACUGCAAUUAUAUAGGCCACGGAAACAUUCUUGGGUGCGGCACGCAAUUUGAUGUAAAGAACAAUUAUCGCAACAGCAUGGAGACAAUCGCCGAAAAAACAACCUCCCAACUAUCCGGCUAUCAUACGGCGGACUCCAAAGUCUAUCAUCACGUCGACGUCAGCAAUAAUCGCAACUGCCCGGGACUUGUAAGCUCUUCCAAUUUUAAACUGUCAAACAAAAACAAAAAACAAAAACAAGUUUAAUAUAAUAUGUAUGUUAAGUGAGAUUAUAGAAGAUUCCAAAUGGAUAUCACAAAUUUAUGAAUAGCAAUAACAAUUGGCUAUAUUAGUUAAUUUGUGUUCAGUGGGGGGCCAUCUAGGGUAUAUAUAUAUAUUUAUUCACAUAGAUUAGGUUAGUUGUAAGCACAACUUUUUUGUUGUUCAUUUAUGCUAAGGUUAAUUGUUGUAGUUUUUUUUUUAAUUUUGAUGAAUGUUGAAAAAAUCAAAUCGAAAUCAAUUGAGAAUUUCAACGCAUUUUUCAGCUGCUAAUCACAAAAAAAUGCGUCCGUUGCAUGCAAGUGAAAUAAAAACGCGCUUUUUAAAUCUAUUAAAAAAAAAAAA